rnacentral:rRNA from 1 species
CCUACGGGGUGCAGCAGUGGGGAAUAUUGGGCAAUGGGCGCAAGCCUGACCCAGCAACGCCGCGUGAAGGAAGAAGGCUUUCGGGUUGUAAACUUCUUUUCUGAGGGACGAGGAAAGUGACGGUACCUCAGGAAUAAGCCACGGCUAACUACGUGCCAGCAGCCGCGGUAAUACGUAGGUGGCAAGCGUUAUCCGGAUUUAUUGGGUGUAAAGGGCGUGUAGGCGGGAAAGCAAGUCAGAUGUGAAAACUCAGGGCUCAACCCUGACCCUGCAUUUGAAACUGUUUUUCUUGAGUGCUGGAGAGGCAAUCGGAAUUCCGUGUGUAGCGGUGAAAUGCGUAGAUAUAAGGAGGAACACCAGUGGCGAAGGCGGAUUGCUGGACAGUAACUGACGCUGAGGCGCGAAAGCGUGGGUAGCAAACAGGAUUAGAUACCCUAGUAGUC